AGUUUUACCUCUCCUCUUCCAAUUUGAAAACCUUGUAUUUCUUUUGUUUGUCUGAUUGCUGUGGCUAGGACUUCCAAUACUAUAUUGAAUAACAGUGGUGAGAGUGCCUUGUCUUGUUCCAGAUUUAAGCGGGAAGGCUUUCAGCUUUUUCCAUUGAGUAUUAUAUUUGCUGUGGGUUGGUCAUAAAUGGCUUUUAUUAUAUUAAGAUAUGCUCCCUCUAUACCCACUUUGGUAAGAGUUUUUAAUCAUGAAUCUAUGUUGGACUUUGUCAAAUGCUUUUUCUGCAUCUAUUGAGAUGAUCUUGUGGCUUUUGACUUUUCUUUUGUUAAUGUGGUGUAUGACAUUGAUUGAUUUGCAUGUGUUGAACCAUUCUUGUGAACCUGGAAUAAAUCCCACUUGGUUGUGGUUUAUAAUCUUUUUUAUAUGUUGUUGGAUUCAGCUGGCUAAAAUUUCUUGAGAAUUUUUGUGUAUAUAUUCAUCAAAGAUAUUGGCCUAUAAUUUUCUUUUUUAGUAGUAUCUUUGUCUGGUUUUGGUAUUAUGGCUUCAUAGACUAUCUCUGGGAGUGUUCCUUCUUCAGCUUUUUGGAAAAGUUUAAGGAGAAUGGGUAUAAAUUCCUCUUUGUAUGUUUGGUAGAAUUUGCCCAUGAAGCCAUCUGGUCCUGGACUUUUGUUUGUAGGGAGUGUUUUUAUUACAUAUUCAAUUUCAUUUCUGGUGAUCAGUCUGUUCAAUUGACUUAUUUCUUCUUGAUUCAGUUUUGGUGGGCUAUAUGUCUCUAGAAAGUUGUCCAUUUUUUCUAGGUUGUCAAAUUUUUUGGCAUGUAAUUGUUCAUACUAUCGUCUUAUGGUUUUUUUUUUAUUUCUGCAGUGUCCACUGAGAUUUCUCCUUUUUCAUUUAUUUUGUAUGAGUUCCUUCUCUCCUCUUCUUGGUGAGUCUGGCCAGAGGUUUGUCAAUUUUGUUUACCCUUUCAAAGAACCAAAUCUUGGCUUCAUUGAUUUUUUUCUAAUGUUUCUUAAAUAUCUAUUUUAUUGAUUUCCUCUCUGCUCUUUAUGAUUUCCUUCCUUCUUCUGACUUUAGGUUUUGUUUGUUCUUCUUUUUCUAAUUCUUUUAGGUAGUAGGUUAAGUUGUUGAUUUGAGAUUUUUCUUAUUUUCUGAGGAAGGCCUGUAUUGCUAUGAACUUCACUCUAAGCACUGCUUUUGUGGUAUCCGAUAGAUUUUGAAUCAUUGUGUUUUCAUUAUCAUUUGUCUGGAGUUAUUUUUAAACUUCUCUUUUGAUUUCCUCAUUGACCCAUUGGUUUUUUAGUAGCAUGUUAUUUCGUCUCCAUGUAGUUGGUUUUUUCUCAUUUCUUUUCCUGGGGUUGAUUUCUAGUUUCAUGCCAUUGUGGUCAGAGAAGAUACUUUAAAUAAUUUCUAUACUCUCAAAUUUGUUGAUGUUUGUUUUAUGCCCUAGUAUGUGGUCAGUCCUUGAAAAUGUUCCAUGUGCACUUGAAAAAAAAAUAUAUAUUAUUACUUUUUGGAUGCAGUGUCCUGAAAAUGUCAAUUUAGUCUAAGCCUUUCUGUUGUGUCAUUUAAGAUCUCUGUUGCUUAUUGAUUUUCUGUCUAGAGGUUCUGUCCAUUGAUGUGAGUGGAGUGUUAAAGUCUCCUACUAUUAUUAUAUUCCCAUCAGUUUCUCCUUUUAUGUCUGCUAGUGUUUGUUGUAUGUCUCUGGGUACUCCUAUAUUGGGGGCAUAUAUAUUGAUGACUGUAAUAGCCUCUUCUUGAAUGGAUCUUUUUAUCACUAAAUAGUGUACUUCUUUGGCUUUCUUUAUGGCCUUCAUUUUAAAGUCUAUUUUAUCUGGAGUUCCUGUCAUGGCUCAGUGGUUAACGAAUCUGACUAGGAACCAUGAGGUUGUGGGAUUCAAUCCCUGGCCUCGCUCAGUGGGUUAAGUAUCUGGCGUUGCUGUGAGCUGUGGUGUAGGUCACAGGCUCGGCUCAGAUCUGGAUUUGUUGUGGCUCUAGCGUAGGCCAGCAGCUAUAGCUCCAAUUAGACCCCUAGCCUGGGAACCUCCAUAUGCCAUGGGAGGGGCCCUAGAAAAGGCAAAAAGACCAAAAUAAAUAAAUAAAUAAAUAAAUAAAGUCUAUUUUAUCUGGUAUGAGUAUUGCAGCUCCUACUUUCCUAUAUUUUCCAUGGGCAUGAACUAUCUUUUUCCAUCCCCUCACUUUCAAAUUGUAUGCGUCUUCUGCCCUAAGGUGAGUGUCUUGUAGCCAGCAUAUUGUAGGCUCUUGCUUUUUAAUCCAAUCUGCCGCCGUCUUCUGAUUGGAGUAUUCAGUCUAUUGACAUUUAAGGUAAUAAUUAUUAUUAUUUUGCUUAUUAGGGCUGCACCCGCAGCAUAUGGAAGUUCCCAGGCUAGGAGUCUAAUUGGAGCUACAGCUGCCAGCCUACACCACAGCCACAGCAACAUAAUAUCUGAGGCAUGUCUGUGACCUACAUCACAGCUCACCACAACACUAGAUCCUUAACCGCAACACUAGAUCCUUAAGAAGGCCAGGGAUUGAACCUGCAACCUCAUCAUUCCUAGUAGGAUUCAUUUCUAUGCACCAUGAUGGGAACUCCGAUAAUUAUUGAUAAAUAUGUAUUUAUUGCCAUAUCGUUCUAUUUUUAUUUUAUUUUUUGCUUUUUACGGCUGCACCCAUGGCAUAUGGAAGUUCCCAGGCUAGGGGUCUAAUCAGAGCUGCAGCCGCCAGCCUAUGCCACAGGCACAACAACGUAGGAUCCAAGCCGCAUCUGCAACCUAAACCACAGCUCAUGGCAAUGCUGGAUCCUUAACCCACUGAGAAGACCAGGGAUUGAACCCUCAACCUCAUGGUUACUAGAUUGAUUUGUUUCCACUGAGCCACUAGGGAAACUCCUUUAUUGCCAUUUUAAACCUUGUUUGCUAGUUGAUUCUGUUUCUCCUUCAUUCCUUUCUUUUUUUGGUUGUGUGAUUUCCUUUUUAUUUUUGCUUUUGUCCUUUUCUUUUUAGUUUUUGUGAAUGUUGUGUUUGGUUUUGAUUUGUGGUUGCCCUGUUUUUCAAGUAUGUUAACACCCUCCUAAAUCUGCUGGCUUUAGUCCUUUUUUUUUUUUUUUUUUUUUUUUUUUUUUGGUUUUUAGAUCCACACCCACAGCAUAUGGAAGUUCCUGGGGUAGGGGUCCAGUUGGAGCUAGAGCCAGUUGGAGCUAGAGCCAGCCUACACCACAGCUACAGCCACAGCAGGAUCUGCACCAUGUCUGCGACCUACACCACAGCUCAAGGCAAUGCCAGAUCCCUGACCCACUGAGUGAGGCCAGGGAUCAACCUAUAUCAUGGAUUCUAGUCAGAUUUGUUUCCACUGGGCCACGAAGGAAAUUCCCUGAAGUCCUUCUUUAACAUUUAUAUGUUUGUCCUCUUGCUGUUCCUUGUGUUUAUUGUCACUUUUACAACAGGUUUUUUUUUUUUUCUUUUAGAUUUGUAUACUGGCUUAAGUGAUUGCUUUUUAAUUAUGAGUUCCUCCAUCCUAUUUCUUCUUUUUUAUUUAGAGAAGCCGCUUUCAGUAUUUCUAUUAGAAUGGGUUUAGUGUUGCUGUACUGUUUUUAGUUUUUGUUUGUUGAAGAAACUCCUUUGCUCCUUCUAUUUUAAAUGAUAUUUUUGCUGGGUAGAGUAUUCCAGGCUGCAAAUGUUUCCCUUUUAGAACUUUGAAUUUAUCUUGCUACUCUCUUCUGACCUGUAGUGCUUCUGUAGAGAAAUCAGCUGAUAGCCUUAUGGGUGUUCCCUUAUAAUUAAUGCUUUUUCUUUUGCUGCCUUUGAAAUCUCCUCUUUAACUUUUGCCAUUUUUAUUAUAAUAUGUCUUGGUGUGGGCCUAUUUGGGUUCAAGUUGUUUGGGGCCUUCUGUGCUUCCUAUAUCUUGAUAUCAGUUUCCUUUAUAUUUGGAAAGUUUUCAGACAUAAUUUCUUCAAAUAUAUUUUCAAGCCCUUUUUCUUUUUCUUCUCCUUCUGGAAUCCCUAUUAUUCAUAGAUUGGCCUGCUUUAUAGUAUCUCCCAUAGAUUUCUUAUAUUGCUUUCAUGUUUUUUCAUUUGGUUUUCUGUCUGCUGUCCUGAUUGGGUGGUUUACAUUAUUCUAUCUUACAAGUCACUAACUCAUUCCUCUGCAUUAUUCAGUCUGCUCUUUAACUCAGUUUGAAUCUCUGCAAAUGAAUUUUCUAAUUUUUCUUGGCUCCUCUUCAUGUUUUCUAGUUCCUUUCUAAAGUAAUCUGCAUUACUAUUUAUAUCCUCUCUUAAUUCUUUGGUAUUCACCCUUAAUUCCUUCAGUAUUUUCACUAUCUCAUUUUUGAACUCUGUGUAUACGAGACUGCAGAGGCCUGUUUCAUUGUUUGCUGCUUUAGGUGAAUUCUCCUGUUCUUUUAACUGGUAAUAGUAGCUGAACUUCUUCAUUUUGCUUAUGUUUUUCUUUUUUUGCGAGUUUAGGGAAACAAACUACUGUAGUCUUUGAGGGCUUUUUCUAUUCAAGAACACCCCUUUGUAUUUUGUUUGGGGGUCACUAUUUAUUUUUGGCAUGUGAGUUUGGAUAUUUGCUGUUUUUCUUCAGUGUGAGCAGGCUGUCAUCCCCUUGAUAAGGUACGGAGUGUGUUUCCAGGGAGAAGGAAGCAAUGGGCAGGGCUAGUAGUCAGGGCCUGGUUCCUGGGCUCUUGACAGUAGAAAGGACCUGCAGGAAAGUAAUGCAGGCUACUCCUAGUUGCAGGGCCCUGGGAAGUGGUAAUGAGCCUAAGGCAGAUUUAAGCAGUGCCCAGAGCAUUUGACAGUGGCAGUGGCAGGGCUGGUGUGUUCCCAGGGGAGUGAGAGCAACAAUGAGUGGUAUUUAGCUGCAGUGCCGUCUUUUUUGCCAACCUCUGAGUUGACUGGGGCUGCAGGUGGAGCCUAUUCAUAGACCCCCUAAUAGUGGCUGGCCACGCCCCUCUCUGGUUUUUGAGAUUACUGCUGUGGUUUGUCCCCACCACCUAUAGAUUACCCAAGAGGCGCUGUGUCACGCUUAGUCCUUGCUGCCCUUAACCCACGAAAGAGGUCCCCAGCAACCCAUAGCCCACACAAAAGGCACCUAGUCUCCUGUAGCCCAGCAAGUGGUCCUUCACCACUGUUAGCCUGCACCAGGGACACCCCGCCCUCUGAGAGCCCACGAGUGCACUGGGGAAGAGAUUACUAUGGCAGUCCACCUCUUCUUCCCUUGCUCUCCCUAACAAUGGUGCCUUGCUUCUCCUGCAGGCCUAGACUUCCUCUCAGGUUCCCUCAGCUGAGGCAUUCCACUCCCCAGCCUGUAGAAUACUGCUCCCUAACCCCUCAGGCUGUCUCCACACAGCCAGCCCUAGUGCUCCCCCUGGAACUGACCUCCAGAGCCUAAGUCUCAGUGCUCAGCCCCGACUGAGAAUCUCAGGCUGUGGUGUCCAGGGUGGUGGUACAGAUGAUCUGUAUGGAUCUCACUCUGCUUUGUCCUCCUCAGUCCAGCUGCUGUGCUUUUCUCCACGACUUUGAAGUUCCCUCCGUCUCAGCCGAUCUCCCCGUUGAUAAGGUGGGUUGCCAGGGUGUGAUUCCUUUUCUCUUUGAUAGCUCCCUCUCAGAUGUGCUAGUCCCAUCCUGAUUCCUUUUCCCUCUCUCUCUCUCUCUUUUUGUUGUUGUUCUACCCAGUGAUGUGGAGGGUUUCUUGCCCUUUUUGGAGGUUUAAGUUUUUCUGCCAGCGUUCAGUAGAUGUUCUGUGAGAAUCUUUAUACAUGUAGAUGUGUCUUUUUGAUGUGUUUGUGGGAGGUGAGUACAAUCCUGAUCCUUCUAGAUUUCUUCCCAAGGCUGUUAUAGUAAGACAAUCUGUUUAGACUUGGCAGAUUUAGCAAAUAAAAAUACAGGAUACCCAGUUAAAUUUGAAUUUCAGUCAAACAACAGAUAAUUUUUUAGCGUAAGUAUGUCAUAUAAAAAUUAUUUACCUGAAAUUCAAAUUUAACUGGACAUCUCGUAUUUUAUCUGCAAAUCCCACAACUAGUUCCUUUACUAUUGUACUUGAAGACAUAUUUAUUAUUUUCUAGAGAAUCUUGGUCUCUGGUGGGGGAUAAUAAAUUGCUGAAGUUUUGCAUGGUUUCCAAGGACAAAUGUGCCUGGGAAGUCAGUAAAUGAUUUCUAGAAUGAACCAUUUCCAUGAUGCAGCCAUCUCCGAUAUUGGCCCUAUAAUAGCUAAGCUUUGACAGGAUAGUUGUGAACACAGAUUUUACUGGUAGUGUUCCUUUGAUGGGGCAUCUUUCUCACCAAGGGCUAACUACUCUCAGACAUCCUCUUUGAUCCCUAUCCAAACCUGCUCUCAAAUAAAAACCUAAACUAGGAGUUCUCCUGUGGUACAACAGGUUUAGGAUCCAGUGUUGUCACUGCUGUGGCUUGGGUCACUGCUAUGGCAUGGGUUUGAUCCCUGGCCUAGGAACUUAUGCAUGCCAUGGGCAUGU
rnacentral:lncRNA from 1 species